GUAGAGCCUGCAGGGGACGUCAAGCCUCCUUCACCAACUGUUCUGAACAAAACUUCCACCUGGGCAGUUAUUUUGACACUCACCAAUGUUUUCUUACUCUGUAAUUUCUUCUAGGAAGAGAAUUCACCCGAGAGCACAUAGUACACUUUGCACAGCGUGUACAGUCUCCACAAUCAGUCAGCAAGUCUCGCUAAAUAUCUUAAAAGGUGAGACGAUGAGUCAAAGUUUUACAAAGUUUUACAGCUGGACUGGAAGUGAUCACAUGACACAACCCAUCUUUGCAUAAUGUUUCUUAUCCAACUAUCUAACAUUCUGCGAAACACAUGACGCCGUGGUAGCCACCUGUCAAUCACAGCGUAGCCCCGCCCCUGAGCGUAGCCUCCUUCAGGAUUUCGGCACAGUCUGCACAGCCACAGUUGUCCCUCCGAGCGGCACGUGAUUGGUCCACGGAGUGCAGUGGCGGUCGGAUGAAUGUUUUAUAAGGAUCUGCUGUUUGUAGGUUAGACUUAUCUCUGCUGUGCCAUGUGUGGGCUGGAGAUGUGAGUCACACCGGGCCGCGUGCUGGAGACGACCAAACAGUAUCGUGUUUUUACAACGCAAUUAACCAGCAGCGCAACGUAACGCUGAAAGCAUUUCAUUUAUGAGACCGGAGGUCGAACGGCAAGCUGCCCGAUUUGUUUUCGUAGGUUGCAUUUGUCUUGUGAUGUGGAGCCGACACAGAUGUUUGCACAGAUGAGCCUUUCUGCUGGAGUAUAUUCUUUAUUGUUAUUUUAUAUAUCUGCUAAGCAGAAGAAGUGUAACCCUGCACAAGAAGAUUUCCUGAUUCCCUCUCUUGAUUGCAUUAUUAUUCUAAUUAGCUUCAUCUCCUCUUUGCUAAUGUUCUCCAUCGGUCCAAAAAUACACCGUUGACCUUUUUGCUCUUUAAAAUGUGUAUUUCAUUAAUAUUUUGAUCGUCAUACUAGAAGAUUCCGGAAGCCUCGGUGUGAACUGGAUAGACUCGGGGGACGCACCAUCCGUCAGAGCUGACGUCUUUUUCU
ensembl:lncRNA